GUGUUACUUAUUGUUCCAACACCAUGGCAAUGUCUCCGGGAGGAAUACAAAUCACUUGGAGCAAGGACACAGAGCCAGCUGAGCAGGUACCAGGAAUGUGGGAGUUGCUCAUUACUCACCCAGGGGUUCAAAGGUAAGGCACAACUCUUCCCCAGGAAGCUCCAUGUUUCCAAAACUGUCGUCAGACCUGAAUGAAUCAACAGGCGAAUAUGGUGAAUUUCCUCAGAAGGUUUCAAAGCAGAGAACUCUAAUAAUCACUUGAUUUAAUGAAGGAAUAAUCUCUACCAAAAAUUGAUUUAUUAAUUAAAAAUCCUUCCUUGUCACUGUCU